GAUGAACGCUGGCGGCGUGGAUAAGGCAUGCAAGUCGAGGGGCAGCAGCUUUAUAGCAAUAGAGAGGCUGGCGACCGGCAAACGGGUGCGGAACACGUACACAACCUUCCUUUAAGAGGGGGAUAGCCCAUAGAAAUGUGGAUUAAUACCCCGUAACAUAUCGGUGUGGCAUCACACUGUUAUUAUAGUUUCGACGCUUGAAGAUGGGUGUGCGGCUGAUUAGGUAGUUGGCGGGGUAAAGGCCCACCAAGCCUUCGAUCAGUAGCUGAUGUGAGAGCAUGAUCAGCCACACGGGCACUGAGACACGGGCCCGACUCCUACGGGAGGCAGCAGUAAGGAAUAUUGGUCAAUGGACGCAAGUCUGAACCAGCCAUGCCGCGUGAAGGAUGAAGGUCCUCUGGAUUGUAAACUUCUUUUAUAGGGGGCGAAAAAAGGGAAUUCUUUCUCACUUGACAGUACCCUAUGAAUAAGCACCGGCUAACUCCGUGCCAGCAGCCGCAGUAA
rnacentral:rRNA from 1 species